CGCCGCGUGAGGGAAGACGGCCUAUCGGGUUGUAAACCUCUUUCAGCAGGGACGAAGCGCAAGGACGGUACCUGCAGAAGAAGCACCGGCCAACCACGUGCCAGCAGCCGCGGUAAUACGUAGGGUGCGAGCGUUGUCCGGAAUAUUGGGCGUAAAGGGCUCGUAGGCGGUUUGUCACGUCGGGAGUGAAAACUCGGGGCUUAACUCCGAGCCUGCUUCCGAUACGGGCAGACUAGAGGUAUGCAGGGGAGAACGGAAAUCCUGGUGUAGCGGUGAAAUGCGCAGAUAUCAGGAGGAACACCGGUGGCGAAGGCGGUUCUCUGGGCAUUACCUGACGCUGAGGAGCGAAAGUGUGGGGAGCGAACAGGAAUAGAUACCCUGGUAGUCCACACCGUAAACGUUGGGCGCUAGGUGUGGGACACAUUCCACGUGUUCCGUGCCGCAGCUAACGCAUUAAGCGCCCCGCCUGGGGAGUACGGCCGCAAGGCUAAAACUCAAAGGAAUUGACGGGGGCCCGCACAAGCGGCGGAGCAAGCGGAUUAAUUCGAUGCAACGCGAAGAACCUUACCUGGGUUUGACAUACACCGGAAAGCUCUAGAGAUAGAGCCCCUUUUAGUCGG
rnacentral:rRNA from 1 species